GACGGAGGGUGCAAGCGUUGUUCGGAUUGACUGGGCGUAAAGGGCGUGUAGGCGGUUGCCCAAGUCCGAUGUGAAAGCCCGGGGCUUAGCCUCGGAAGUGCAUCGGAAACUAGGCAGCUGGAGCGCGAUAGAGGAGGGUAGAAUUCCUGGUGUAGCGGUGAAAUGCGUAGAUAUCAGGAGGAAUACCGGCGGCGAAGGCGGCCCUCUGGAUCGUUGCUGACGCUGAGACGCGAAAGCGUGGGGAGCAAACAGG
rnacentral:rRNA from 2 species